CGAUAGCGAACAAGUACCGUGAGGGAAAGAUGAAAAGAACUUUGAAAAGAGAGUUAAACAGUACCUGAAAUUGCUGAAAUGGAACCGAUGGGAGGCAGUGUUGGCCGUUGGUCAUUUUGGGUAUCCCGCAUGCGGGUUGCUCGUGUGGCCGAGGGCAAGUCAGGCUUUCUUUGACGAGCGGGAGAGGUCUCAAACCUGUGAGGGUUGAGGGUGCCGUCGCUUGUUGGAGGGACUUUGACGAAAUGCCUCUUAUCACCCCGUCUUGUAACACGGACCAAGGAGUCUAACAUGUGUGCGAGUGCUCGGGGUUCAUCCCCCAGCGCGGAAUUAAUGUGAAGGCGGACCUAGUCCGCUGAGGUAGGAUGCUUCGGCUGCACUAUCGACCGACCAUGAUCCUCCGGGAGAAAGGUUUGAGUGUGAGCAUACAUGUUGGGACCCGAAAGAUGGUGAACUAUGCCUGAGUAGGGCGAAGCCAGGGGAAACUCUGGUGGAGGUCCGCAGCGAUUCUAACGUGCAAAUUGAUCGUCGAACUUGGGUAUAGGGGCGAAAGACUAAUCGAACCAUCUAGUAGCUGGUUCCUCCCGAAAUUUCCCUCAGGAUAGCUGCAACCAAACAGUUUUAUCAGGUAAAGCGAAUGAUUAGAGGCCUCAGGGGUGGAACGUCCUUGACCUAUUCUCAAACUUUAAAUGGGUAAGAGCCCGGGGUUGCUUAAUUGAACCCUGCGGUCGAAUGAUGGUUGCUAGUGGGCCAAUCUGGGUAAGCUAGAUUGGCGAUGCGGGAUGAACCGAACGUCGAGUUAAAGUGCCAAAGUAUCCGCUCACCUAGAUCCCACAAAAGGUGUUGGUUCAUUAAGACAGCAGGACGGUGGCCAUGGAAGUCGGAACCCGCUAAGGAGUGUGUAACAACUCACCUGCCGAAUGAACUAGCCCUGAAAAUGGAUGGCGCUUAAGCGGAUCACUUAUACUCGACCAACACGGCAAGUGCGAGGCCGUGUUGAGUAGGGAGGCGUGGGGCUCGUUGUGCAUUUCGCGGCGCAAGCCGGAAUGAAACGGGCUCUAGUGCAGAUCUUGGUAGUAGUAGCAAAUAUUCAAAUGAGAACUUUGAAGACUGAAGUGGAGAAAGGUUCCAUGUGAACAGUAAUUGGACAUGGGUGAGUCGAUCCUAAGAGAUAGGAGAAUUCUGUUUGAAUGUGGCCCUUUUCCGGAAGGGCCCGGCUAUCGAAAGGGAAUCGGGUUAAUAUUCCCGAACCAGGACGUGGAUAAUGAGUGGCAACACAAGCGAAAUCGGGGACGUUGGCGGGAGCCCCGGGAAGAGUUCUCUUUUCUUCUUAACAGUUCAGUGGACCUUGGAAUCGGAUUGCCCGGCGAUAAGGUUCAGUGGCUGGGAAAGCGGCACACUUUUUGUGCCGUCCGGUGCGCUUCCGACGACCCGUGAAAACCCGGUGGCGUGACUUAUUCGCACCCCUGGUCGUACUCAUAACCGCCUCAGGUCUCCAAGGUGUGCAGCCUCUAGUCGAUAGAACAAUGUAGAUAAGGGAAGUCGGCAAAAUAGAUCCGUAACCUCGGGAUAAGGAUUGGCUCUGAGGGUUGGGCCUAGGGGUCCCUUGAUUGACGGAAGCGGCGGCUAGGAGUGGACUGCGGCCUCGGCUGCGGACCGCACCCGGCUGCUCUCUCGAGGUCUUGGGAACGUCUUCGGACUUUCUCUAGUGCGUGGAACAACCAACUCAGAACUGGAGCGGACAAGGGGAAUCCGACUGUUUAAUUAAAACAAAGCAUUGCGAUGGCUGGAGAC
rnacentral:rRNA from 1 species